rnacentral:rRNA from 1 species
UACGUAGGGUGCGAGCGUUAAUCGGAAUUACUGGGCGUAAAGCGUGCGCAGGCGGUUUUGUAAGUCAGAUGUGAAAUCCCCGGGCUCAACCUGGGAACUGCGUUUGAAACUGCAAGGCUAGAGUAUGGGAGAGGGAGGUAGAAUUCCACGUGUAGCAGUGAAAUGCGUAGAGAUGUGGAGGAAUACCAAUGGCGAAGGCAGCCCCCUGGGCUAACACUGACGCUCAUGCACGAAAGCGUGGGGAGCAAACAGG